AGAGUUUGAUCCUGGCUCAGGAUGAACGCUAGCUACAGGCUUAACACAUGCAAGUCGAGGGGCAGCAUGGUCUUAGCUUGCUAAGGCCGAUGGCGACCGGCGCACGGGUGAGUAACACGUAUCCAACCUGCCGUCUACUCUUGGACAGCCUUCUGAAAGGAAGAUUAAUACAAGAUGGCAUCAUGAGUCCGCAUGUUCACAUGAUUAAAGGUAUUCCGGUAGACGAUGGGGAUGCGUUCCAUUAGAUAGUAGGCGGGGUAACGGCCCACCUAGUCUUCGAUGGAUAGGGGUUCUGAGAGGAAGGUCCCCCACAUUGGAACUGAGACACGGUCCAAACUCCUACGGGAGGCAGCAGUGAGGAAUAUUGGUCAAUGGGCGAGAGCCUGAACCAGCCAAGUAGCGUGAAGGAUGACUGCCCUAUGGGUUGUAAACUUCUUUUAUAAAGGAAUAAAGUCGGGUAUGUAUACCCGUUUGCAUGUACUUUAUGAAUAAGGAUCGGCUAACUCCGUGCCAGCAGCCGCGGUAAUACGGAGGAUCCGAGCGUUAUCCGGAUUUAUUGGGUUUAAAGGGAGCGUAGAUGGAUGUUUAAGUCAGUUGUGAAAGUUUGCGGCUCAACCGUAAAAUUGCAGUUGAUACUGGAUAUCUUGAGUGCAGUUGAGGCAGGCGGAAUUCGUGGUGUAGCGGUGAAAUGCUUAGAUAUCACGAAGAACUCCGAUUGCGAAGGCAGCACACUAAUCUGUAACUGACGUUCAUGCUCGAAAGUGUGGGUAUCAAACAGGAUUAGAUACCCUGGUAGUCCACACGGUAAACGAUGAAUACUCGCUGUUUGCGAUAUACAGCAAGCGGCCAAGCGAAAGCGUUAAGUAUUCCACCUGGGGAGUACGCCGGCAACGGUGAAACUCAAAGGAAUUGACGGGGGC
rnacentral:rRNA from 1 species